ACGGCUCAGUAACACGUGGACAACCUGCCCUUAGGUUGGGUAUAAACCCGGGAAACUGGGUAUAAUACCCGAUAGGUCUCGAUUGCUGGAAUGCAUCGAGAUUUAAAGCUCCGGCGCCUAAGGAUGGGUCUGCGGCCUAUCAGGUAGUAGUGGGUGUAGCGUACCUACUAGCCUACGACGGGUACGGGUUGUGAGAGCAAGAGCCCGGAGAUGGAUUCUGAGACACGAAUCCAGGCCCUACGGGGUGCAGCAGGCGCGAAAACUUUACAAUGCUGGCAACAGCGAUAAGGGAACCUCGAGUGCCAGGUUACAAAUCUGGCUGUCGAGAUGCCUAAAAAGCAUUUCAUAGCAAGGGCCGGGCAAGACCGGUGCCAGCCGCCGCGGUAACACCGGCGGCUCGAGUGGUAACCGUUAUUAUUGGGUCUAAAGGGUCUGUAGCCGGCCGGAUAAGUCUCUUGAGAAAUCUGGCAGCUUAACUGUCAGGCUUUCAGGAGAUACUGUCUGGCUCGAGGCCGGGAGAGGUGAGAGGUACUUCAGGGGUAGGGGUGAAAUCUUGUAAUCCUUGAAGGACCACCAGUGGCGAAGGCGUCUCACCAGAACGGACCUGACGGCAAGGGACGAAAGCUAGGGGCACGAACCGGAUUAGAUACCCGGGUAGUCCUAGCCGUAAACGAUACUCGCUAGGCGUCGGCCACGGUGCGACCGUUGUCGGUGCCGUAGGGAAGCCGUGAAGCGAGCCACCUGGGAAGUACGGCCGCAAGGCUGAAACUUAAAGGAAUUGGCGGGGGAGCAC
rnacentral:rRNA from 1 species